GUAGUGAUAAGACAUGACUGGGAAGCAGUUACCAGAGACAAGCAAGGAUAGGGCUUUGAAUGCAUCCUCUGCUGGUGGCUUCUGUAGUUAUGCAUAAAAUUUACUCUGACCUGUUUACUUUUAUAGCCUGUCUUUACUUUGUUUCUUUUAAUAUUAUACAUGUUUAGGCUAUGCUUUUUCUUUAAAUAUGUGAGCAAAUCUAUUGGUGUAAUGUACUCAUUACCCUAAAACCUAUAUUAUAAUGGACCCGAAUACCAUAAGGUAGAAGAUCAGAAGAAAAAGAAAAUGCAUACAUUUUUAUCUUUAAAACAAUUCACUUUUAAGAUUAUUUUCUUGAAAGGUAUACGUUUGAUGGAGCUGAAUCUAGUUCCUUCAGGCAGAUAUAAUAGGAUACAAUAGGAUAGGACUUCUUGGGUAAAAAAGGUGUAGUAAUCUGUGAGACUCAUGGGAAGGAGAAAGGAAAUUAUUAAUUAAUUUGGCUGAGGCCAGGGUAGUAAGCAGAUUCAUUAUAAAUUCUGGCAGCAGAGGAAUACUUGAGAAAUGCUUAUAAAGUUAGAUCAUCUAUUUUUCCAAGCAAAUUCUUCAUGUCAUUCCACCUUGUAAAAACUUUGUGGAAAAGAAUAAGCACAUGAAUGAGCAAUGAAUAGACUUUGCAUUAGAUUGGUAAUCUUGCUACUAGUACAUUAAUUUACUUGUAUUACUGAUAUUUUAAGAUAGGAUUUUUACAGAUGUUUAUAUAUUUUUUAAAAGCCUAUUUUUUUCUUUACCCAUUUUCUCAAUUUUUUUAACCUCGAAAACUUUUUCCUCCCUGAGAGAAAUACAUGGGCUAUCUUCAGCAUAGAACACAAACUCUGCCUUCUUUUCUCAAGUCCAGUGAUUCAAGUUUGACACACCACACCACGGUGGAUGUGCCUUGUCAUGACACAUCUCAGCAGCACUAGAAGAUACAUCCAAAGUCCUGUGAGCAAGGUCUGUGGUAUCUGUUUAUUAUGGCAGCCCAGUAAGACUAAGACAGGCCAUCACAAGACGUGAACGUUUUGGACCUUCUCUUGGGCCCUAGUAAACAGAAAUCAGGCUAUUUAUUAAACUAAUCCACGUUCUGAACAGUUAUUGCUACUGGAAACCAGUCCCGAUCCAGACCACAAAAGACGAUUCUUGGAUCUUGCACAAGAAAGAAAGGGAAGAUCUGGCAAGAGUUAGCGUGCAGUUCUACAUUGUGACAAUUCAUGAGAGCUAAGGACUGGCUGUCUCUUGGGACAAAUAGGCUUUCUUGAGUCUGCAUGAGGCCCUCACCAGAUACAGCCACCUGAUCUUGGACUUCACAGCCUCCAGAAAUCUUAUAGAAGAGUACAGCAUACAGAAAAAUACAUCUUCUGCAAAGAAAACACAGUCAUGUAGAGAACCUUUCCAUCCCCAGUCUGGACCCAGGCUUGUACUCAGAAAUCCUGGCUGCCUUCACAGCAUCAAACUAUAAUUUUUUGUCUACCUCGAUUUAUGAAUGAUCAAGAGCUCUCUUAGAUUAUCUGCCUUUUAGCAGGGGCUGAGGAUUAUUAAUAUUCCAGCCCAUAUUUAGAAUUGGCAAAUGCCGUUAAGGCUUUGCUUCCACUUCUAAGUGAGAACAUACAGUGUUUGGUUUUUCAUUCCUGAGUUACUUCACCUAGAACAAUGGCCUCCAGCUCCAUCCAAGUUGCUGCAGAAGACAUUUCAUUCCUUUUAUGGCUGAGUAGUAUUCCAUGUCCAGUGAUUCAAGUUUGACACACCACACCACGGUGGAUGUGCCUUGUCAUGACACAUCUUCUCAGCAGCACUAGAAGAUACAUCCAAAGUCCUGUGAGCAAGGACACAGCGAGAAGAUGGCUGUCUACAAGCCAGGAAGAGAGUCCUCACCAGAACCAAACCCUGCUGGACUUUGAUCUUGGACUUCCCAGCCUCUAAAACUGUGAAGACAUAAAUUUCUGUUGUUAAACCCACACAGGUCUGUGGUAUCUGUUUAUUAUGGCAGCCCAGUAAGACUAAGACAGGCCAUCACAAGACAUGAAUGUUUUGGACCUUCUCUUGGGCCCUAGUAAACAGAAAUCAGGUACGCAAAAGGGGUAAGCAUAUAAUUUCCUUUAUUUUUAUUUUUAAUGUGUAAGCCUUAGGUUUUUAUUUAUUUAUUUGGUGAAGACAAUCACAUUGUGUACGUACAAUGUAAUUAUAUUGUUGACGAGAAGUUACUUAAAAUUUUUUAAAAAUUCUAAUCGAUUUCUAGAUGUCCAAAUGAGAAGAUAGCAUUUAUAUACCAUCAGAACAUAAAAUAAUUCAAAAAAAUAAAUUUAUAAAACAAUAUGUAUUAUAUUGAGAGAAAGAGAGGGAGAGAGUAUUGGAAGAAUAUAUGCAAAUACAAUGUGAUAAUGUGAUGUCUUUGUGAGAAUGCUAUAUGUCAUUUUCUUUGUUUAUAUGAAUUUUUACAAUUUUUACCUUUGAAAUAUAAAAAAGAGAGAAUAAAAGUCAUUGAAAAAAUCAAAAGUAACUAUUUUCAUAGGUGAGUAAGUAUACAUCUUUAACAGAAC
rnacentral:lncRNA from 1 species